GGUGAUCCUUUGACUCUUCCAAACGAGAAAUCCAGACUCCCUCCGGCAUGCAGAAGGAAGACUUCCUGGAGGCAGCGACGCCCCAGUGGAACCCUGGAGUAUAUCCAAGAUGGUCAGUUCCACACAGAGGGAACCAGAGAAAAGGUCUCCCAGAUGGAGGGAGACUUGCAGGCCCUGCCAAAGCCAAGGAAGAAUUUGCGUAGUAGUUGCAUUUCUUCAUAGCAUGAAGGCAGGAGAACAUGAGUGCAUCAGGGGGCUUGCUUGGCGAGAGACCAGGAUGCAAAGCUCAAAGUACCAUGGCCAAUAGAGAUGUCCACUUAGCUGGCACAGAGAACAUACCCACUAAAGAGAAGCAGCAUCAAGGGGGCACCUUUCUGCCCAGAAGCCUCUGCCCUCGGUCCUGGCAGCACAAGUCACUCCAGACCUUCAUGCAUAAGGGUGACCUUGUUUUGGUGUUCUAUAGACCCUGCCCACAGUUUUGUUUGGGGACAGCUCUGCCCAGCAUCUGGAGGUUCCAGCUUAGAGGAAGAAGAGGGACUUGACCUUGAAAUCCCAGAUGUAAGUGAUAGAAGAAAC
rnacentral:lncRNA from 1 species